UACGAAGGGUGCUAGCGUUGUUCGGAAUUACUGGGCGUAAAGCGCGCGUAGGCUGCCAUUCAAGUCAGGGGUGAAAUCCUUGGGCUCAACCCAAGAAUUGCCUUUGAAACUGUAUGGCUAGAGUGUCGGAGGGGAUAGCGGAAUUCCUAAUGUAGAGGUGAAAUUCGUAGAUAUUAGGAGGAACACCGGUGGCGAAGGCGGCUAUCUGGACGACAACUGACGCUGAGGCGCGAAAGCACGGGGAUCAAACAGG
rnacentral:rRNA from 1 species